rnacentral:rRNA from 1 species
GACGGAGGGUGCUAGCGUUGUUCGGAAUCAUUGGGCGUAAAGCGCGCGUAGGCGGCCCGAUAAGUCUGCUGUAAAAGUCAACGGCUCAACCGUUGAAAGCCGGUGGAUACUGUCGGGCUAGAGUCCGGAAGAGGCAAGUGGAAUUCCUGGUGUAGCGGUGGAAUGCGCAGAUAUCAGGAGGAACACCGAUGGCGAAGGCAGGUCUCUGGGCAUUAACUGACGCUGAGGAGCGAAAGCAUGGGGAGCGAACAGG